AGAGUUUGAUCAUGGCUCAGGAUGAACGCUAGCGAUAGGCUUAACACAUGCAAGUCGAGGGGCAGCAUGGUCUUAGCUUGCUAAGACUGAUGGCGACCGGCGCACGGGUGCGUAACGCGUAUGCAACUUGCCUCACAGAGGGGGAUAACCCGUCGAAAGACGGACUAAUACCGCGUACACUCUAUGUUGGGCAUCCAAUGUAGAGGAAAUGAAAUUCGCUGUGAGAUAGGCAUGCGUCCCAUUAGCUAGUUGGUGAGGUAACGGCUCACCAAGGCGACGAUGGGUAGGGGAACUGAGAGGUUGAACCCCCACACUGGUACUGAGACACGGACCAGACUCCUACGGGAGGCAGCAGUGAGGAAUAUUGGUCAAUGGGCGAGAGCCUGAACCAGCCAAGUCGCGUGAAGGAUGACUGUCUUAUGGAUUGUAAACUUCUUUUAUACGGGAAUAACAAGAGCCACGUGUGGCUCCCUGCAUGUACCGUAUGAAUAAGCAUCGGCUAACUCCGUGCCAGCAGCCGCGGUAAUAC
rnacentral:rRNA from 1 species